rnacentral:lncRNA from 1 species
CAAAAUUUUGUUUUGUAUCCUAGGAUUUUUUUACACUAAAUUUAAAUCCUACCUUUUAAAAAAUUCAAUCGUUUUAUGAUAAACAUGAAUUUUAACAUCAUGUUUAUGAUAUUUUUAUGUUAUUCUUUAUUCGCAAAAUUAUUUUUGGAUUAGAUAAAGAUGACUGUUUUUAUAAGGCCAUAAUACGCACACGAUAAGCAGAAAUCGCAGCGGUUGCGGGAAGCGAAAAGUUUUCAAACUGGUUGCGACGAGUAGCGACGCUGCUGCGUCCGAUUAUCGCUGUUGAUCUCUUUAUCCUUUCUGUGUCAUUUGUUCUUGGAAUCACAUAAUUGAGGUAUAAUUCGGUACGCGCUGCUGACAUGUGAGAUAAAAACCCAAUCCGACGCCCAGACUAAAUAACCGCGUGCCUUGGUCGGUUGCGUGAAUGCAGCAGCGACGCCGAUUCGCUUUUAGGUCGACCCCGCACGCUUAAUUACCCGUAAUCCUUAUUGGGCUUUUAAUGGCCAUUAGCCUUUGUUUGCCGGCUAAUUGAAUUCCGCAAAAAUCCAUUUUCGCCAAAUCCGAGUGUUUACACGGAUUAUGAUGGCGCGUCCGUGCGGAUUUACUAUUUGCAAAACUCGCUAACUGUAAUUAUCAGAAGAAACGCCAAGGGGAAUGGCUAUGCGUCGGCGCCACCGCUCGUCAUUUCCCUGAGAUAACACGCGCGCGCAACGGGAACGUUAUUCCUAUGCUCGUAGGAAUGACGUUUCCGGCGCGAGCGCAUUAAUGUUUUCCGUCCGUCGCGUGUUAGUGUUUUCGUGUCCGCUAUCGCACGUCACACUGAAAUGUGAUGUGCGGUAGCGGACGCGAAAACGCUAACACGUGGUUGGAUGGGCGAUAAACAAUUAUCGUCUUCUUCUCGUUUCUUAUUUCGGCUACCGCGUCACGCGUAUAUGUGGCUCGAGUCUUAGGGUUGGCACCAGUGACGUAAUGGACGGAAAAGUCAUCCGUCGCUUGGUAGAUCCGGUCGCCGACUAUGAGUCCAGUUACGUCAUCAGCCACCCAAUGCGGUAGGAUUACCCGAACGAAACUCUGCGCUUCUUUGUUUUCUGGAAGGUGUCGCCGCGUAAAGUAAUUAAAGCCAACUUCGGCGUUCCACCCAAACAGAGGAGACGUCACGCGACGGGACGACGCAUCAAUCCGCUCGGCUUUUUAAUAUUCGCGAUGAGCGUGAGGAUGGGUGCGGUCGAUGCAGAUCCAUUAAUAUAGGUUUUCUAUAAUUUUUCUUCGUGUUUGGGCGGUUUCCUUCCGACGGUCACGCGAACCGCUUUUUACGACGUCGUCUCCGAGUUCUGAGUAUUACUUACGUUCUUCCGUCUGCCGGACGAGUCCACCGGUCCGAAGAAUAUCUCAAAUUGGUAUUUCCCCCUUCUUUUUGGGGGCAAUUUGGAUGCCGAAUUGAUUUUUUCGACAAAUCGAUCGUCGGAACGAUAAUGGGUCGAAAAUCGGCGACGACCGAAGGAGAUACGGUCGUCGACGUCAUCGAUCAAAGAUAAGAUCUGCCGUGACGUCAUAACGGUCGGCGUUAAUUUCGUCGCUCGAACUAACACCUCCGAAAUAUGGAAUUUCCAGACUUCCCAGCGGGAAAAACCGGAACCGAUUAUAAACAGGUGGGCGAGGACAAAUAACGGAGUUAAUGGAGGUCGGGCUGAGCCCGCCAAUUAUUACGCACCAGGGCUAUGAGAAAUCACAUAGUUUUUCUUUAUUGAAGACCAACGUAUUUGAUUUCUGACCGGAAAUCAACGCGCAAUCCUACAUUUAAUACUAGGCGGGCCCGGGAACGAUCUCUCUCCAUCCGAGGUGGCGUAACCGAAGGAAGGUCCAGAUGUCCGUUAGAAGACUGCGCGGUGGCCAUUGUGUCGGUUGUCAUGACAACGUAACACCGACGGUGGGCGGGGGGAGACGUUAGAGAAAGGGUCUGUCAGCGGGAUCCGGAUUGAUGGCCGAGCUACGAAAGCCGGAGGAGAAUAAUUUAAUCUCUCCCCGCGGCCGAUAGAAAAAUAGUUCUCGGAAAGCCUCCUACUCGCUGCCAAUAAAUGACAAUAAUAAUAACGCGUUCGUGUUCUCGGAAUUUUCCCAGACGGAACGUCGUCGGCCGACCGUCUUUUAUAUGCCUCGUUCUGUCUGUUUUAAGGGCCGAAGGCUGGCGGUGCAAUCUCCCAAAUAAAUAUAUUUUUUAAAGCACAGCCCAUCCCUAGAGAUAGAGCGUCAGGAUUGUAGCCAGAUCUGUGGGACAGGGUGGUAAACGGACGAAGGAUGGUGGAGUUUGAGUGUCUGAGAGACCGGGCAGGGAAUCGCUCAUAAAUAUGUAACCGGACCGAGCCACGUCGGAAGGAUAGCUGGCUAAAGAUUAUCGUUGGCUGACAGAUCGCAUUAGCCCGCGCACCGCGUUGUCAUUCAGACCCAUUACCUUGAUUAAAAGAGCGAUGUCGAUCUGGCUCCGGAUGCCCGGGCUCUCUUCCGGGUAGAGAGGCCAAUUACACCAGUGCGUCAGUGUUGGCCGUUAUUGUUAACGUUACGACAGGACCGGGACCACCCGGUAAAGUAAUUUUGUUAUUAAAUCGUUAGCGGCUGUGGCGGAAAGAGGCAGUCCCAAAGGUAGCAGUCAUUUCCGUUUUUCCAUUUCUACAUCCGACAGUACGAAAAAAAUAUCGAGCCUGGUCAUCCAGACCACCGAGUACCCAAUAUUUAUGGAUAUUCGAGUCAUCAAUUUUGGUUAGACAUGACGACCGACCUCUCGCUAGAAAGCGUCGACUCAAAUUGUUUCCGACUUAAAGGUUUAGACUGUAAGCUGACUGGGAAGGAAGGAAACAGAUUAAUUUGGCGCUCCCCGAAGGGAGGAAUUAUGGUUGGAAAAGUCAAAGGUGUGGAGUCGGGCGCGACAGUCCGGCCCAGUGUACAUGUCGAUUAAUGUUAACGCAGGGCGGAAGUUCCGUUUAAUGGAGCGCGACUAUAACCGCAAAUUUCUUUUUCUCGCCUCCAAACGGGAUUUACCCAUGUUGCAUACCGACCGCGCAGCGCCGAAGAGAGGCACCCUCGUUUCGGUCGGUGUGGGGCUUUGGCUGUCGGAAACGUGCCAUCCCGGUCUAAACCGAUCGAUAGACGUUUAUCUAGCGACGACUCCACCCGACCGCCGACCUCUAGAAUCGUUUUGGGAUUUCACGCGUUCCGAACUGUCGGACCGAAUCGCAUUUUCUCCGGCAGCUGUUGGUUUGGACACUUUUCCUUUUAAUUGGCCGUCAGAUCCUUUCUCUAUUUUGUUGCUACUUAAGUCCCACAGAUUCAGAAUCCGGAAAAAGAAACAUAAAGUCCGGAUAGUGGUUCUCCAUGCAAACCCUUUCAUCGGCAUCUAUACUGUUGUAAUUCAUUCGAAUAAGAAAUAUCGGGGCUCUUCGGCCGGAGUUCGAACUGCGCAAAAUGUUAACGAUAAUUGGGGCGGUCAGAAAUGAGGGAAUCUGUGGCGCUAUAGGUUGUGUCUAUCGAUCGACGGUUAAGAACCCCGGGUCGGCCUCUUCUUUAGAUAGAGAAAGUCGAGAGAACGGAAGUAUUUGACACCUUUCUCUCGGCGCAUCGAUAAUUUACGGCGAGUUUCAUUUCGAAAUAUAUUUUUCAGUCGAAGCGCGCCAGUUUUGUUUGGUGUCAAAGGCCGGCUAUUACAAUUGUGAUAGGAAAAGCGCAGAGAGCUGGAUGGAUGCCGCCCAACUCCGUAACCCAAUUUAAAACCACUCCUAUCUGUGCUUCUUCUUUCGUCCUUGACGCUGUAAAGGGUACAUUGGUCGUCCGUUUUCACCGCACCAAGGACGGAACAAAGAAACCCUUUUGCGGCAUCGACAGAAAAAAAAAAUUAGAUGGAAGUCGGGUCAUUCGAGAGAAAUGGAAUGAAAGAGGUGUCCGCUGGCACGUGUACGCACCAGCUACGGGUAGGUGGACCGGAAGAGGAAGCCAGUGGCCCUCAGACGGCCGCAACAGUUGACGGGAGAAAUUAGAACAGCCGAUCAUCCAUCACCAGUGGCGCAGUCUCAGUGGAUUGGAUCGAUGAGAAGACCGUCUGCGCAUUCUCUUUCUCCUUCUGCUUGAGGCUUCGCGCUCAGACUGUGAUGACUGGAUCCGAGAAAGUUGGCGCUUAUUUCGUUCCGGAUGCCUCUUCCGCCGGGGAGGCGUUAGGUCCUGCCGCCGCCCCGGUAAGUAAACAUCCGGUGUCCGGAAGGGAGGGCCGAACGCGCUGAGAAACUGCGAAUGCAACCUAAACCGGCCUAAUUUCCAAGUGAAGAAACCUUCGCUCGAUUCUUAAAUCGAGUUCUCAUUAUAUUUCAUGGUGUAUUUUGCUUUAGUUCUAUUUCUUUUUUCAUAUUUCAUUCUUAAAUUCUAAAGGAAAACACGGUUUUAUUGGGAAUCCGUUGGUUCAAUUCCCGUUUGUCUCUAAUCUUAUGUUUUACGCCGCUUUCUAUCCGAAGAUACUAAACGGCUGGACGAUUUCAAAGCCCAUUAUGGGUCGCCAGCAGAUGAAGGAUGGAGUCUAUCGCAUAUCAUAUAGAAAGAGUUAAAUUGGUUUUAGGAUUUUCCGUCCGUAAUAAGACUUUGGCUUCUAUUUUCGAAUCGAAAAUUUUACUUAAGCAUGCUAGAAAUUGCUUCCGAUAAAUAGUAUAUUGCAAAGUAGAUUUGCACGGAUGAUGGUGCUAAUUCUCAAAUUAAGAAUAAAUGAAUCGUCGAUUGUUUUAUAUUCAAGUUAUGCCCGAAGUGAUUAGUCUACUCAUUAUCUCGAAAUCUUUAUGUCAAACUUAUAUUAGCGAAUUUCUAAAAAAUAUAACUUUUUCAAUGUCAAUUGUGAGGGAUUAACCCCUGAAGCUCUCCGUGAGCAAUAUGGCAACUCUAUCUUAUCUAACCUGAAGGUCUCUUCGCAUAAAUCUUUGUAUUCGACCGUUUUUCUUGUUUGUUAUUCAUCAAGGGAAAUUCAGCAUAUAGGGAAAAUGUUUUCAAUACUUAAUUUUAGAUACUUAUCCUUUCCUUUGUCUAAGAGAUCAAGGAUUUAUAGUUCUCGAUCCUAUCGCUUAAUGUUAUAUAUUUUAUUACAGUAAAUUCUCAGAAUUCUUAUUUUCUUUGUGGAGGAGACAACGACUCGUCUCUCUUCGAACUAUCUCUCAUCCACGAUUUAUUUGACUAUGAUGGAGUUUCAUCCUGUUAAAUCUUUCACUGAAAUAAUUGUGAGGAGUGUGCCAUCCAAAUUUAAAAUAGACUUUAUCUGUCAUUUUCCGCAAUGUCCCUCGUCUGUACUAGCAGAUGUGUUGAGACAGUGGCAUUUGUUGGAGUUGGAUUCGGGCCAGGAUGGUAGAAAACGCAUGGAACUGGAUACUGAUGACGCUAUGAAAAAGACAGCGGCGCAUUAUCGAAUUCUCACUCAACAGUCGACAGCCGUCUCCCAUCUCUUGUCUGUUUCCAGCCAACGCCCCUUUCCUCAUUCAAUGAAGAUUGGCGCCCAACCACGCGACAACGGAAUGACCUCCAUCCGUCCUUCCACUCGACCGACGGAUGAAGGGCGGAUCCAGCGCAGACUCCGCGCCCCGGUGGGAAAAAUACGUGCGGGUGUGGUCGCCGAGUGUCCCAUUCCAAUGACAGUUCGAGCCGAUGUCACCUAUCAAAAUUGCUUUUAACGCGUGGCAAAAGGCGGACCCGCGUCAACUGACAUGAGUAGUCAGAAAACAGGGGUUAUGUCACGUUUGAAAUCUGCCCAAGAGAGGGGAAGAAGGAGGAGGGCGGCAGGAAAACGUGAUAACUCUGGGGAAUAUCUACAUUUAAGUUUUUUCUAGCGAUUGUAAAGAGAAAAAUAACUCCUCUUUGUUCCUAUUGGCGUGGUUUGAAAUUGCGAAUUUUUAGUAAGAUUGCUGGAUAAUGCGUUCGCAAUUAAAAAUUUUGAUUCAGAAAUAAGCGGAGGGAAUUUUAUUCUUUGAAAUUCGAACGGCUUUUGUUUACUGCAUUUCUUUUCCUAAUCGUUCCUUUCUUUCUUUUUUAGAUGGUUCCUUUUCUCUGGAGGGAGCGCUGUAUCGAUGGAAGAUUCCCGGCGGGGAUCCG